rnacentral:Y_RNA from 1 species
GGCUGGUCUGAAGGUAGUGAAUUAUCUCAAUUGCUCACAGUUAAUUACAUAUCAAACGCCUUGCUCUGCUCUUUCCCCUCUUCUCACUACUGCACUGGAAUGGUCUUUU